GGGACGAGCCCAGCACCGAAUCCCCCGGCAUGCAGCAGGCGGGAAAUGUGGUGUGUGGGACGCCAACUGUCGUCCGCGCUGGAGACCGAAGUCCUCCUGAUCGGGGCCUCUCCCACAGCGGGUGUCAGGCCUUUACUGGUCUCCGGCCGGGCGGCUGCGAGCGUCUCAGGAGUCGGGUUGUUUGGGAAUGCAGCCCAAAGCGGGUGGUAAACUCCAUCUAAG
rnacentral:rRNA from 1 species